rnacentral:rRNA from 1 species
CCUACGGGGGGCUGCAGUGGGGAAUAUUGGACAAUGGGGGGAACCCUGAUCCAGCCAUGCCGCGUGUGUGAAGAAGGCCCUCGGGUUGUAAAGCACUUUCAGUGAGGAAGAACGCCUGGUGGUUAAUACCCAUCAGGAAAGACAUCACUCACAGAAGAAGCACCGGCUAACUCCGUGCCAGCAGCCGCGGUAAUACGGAGGGUGCGAGCGUUAAUCGGAAUUACUGGGCGUAAAGCGCGCGUAGGUGGCUUGAUAAGCCGGUUGUGAAAGCCCCGGGCUCAACCUGGGAACGGCAUCCAGAACUGUCAAGCUAGAGUGCAGGAGAGGAAGGUAGAAUUCCCGGUGUAGCGGUGAAAUGCGUAGAGAUCGGGAGGAAUACCAGUGGCGAAGGCGGCCUUCUGGACUGACACUGACACUGAGGUGCGAAAGCGUGGGUAGCAAACAGGAUUAGAUACCCCUGUAGUC